rnacentral:lncRNA from 1 species
GAGCUCAGAGGCAUGUAUUUUAUUCUUUCUAUAUUCCUGUUUUAUUUAUUUACUCAGUCUUAAAUGAUCCUUUGAUUAAUUUAUUUAUCUGUUUAUUUUUUCAGCUCUCGUUCCAAGAACACCAUCUCCACCGAUCGCUGAUCACGACCCCGAAACUGUGUCUGAGCCUGAGGCUGAUCCUGGACAUGACAGCGAGACUGACGAUGAUCUGAGGGGCCCGGCUGAGGUACCACCACCACCACCACCACCACAGGAUGGUGCGGACAUCCACUAUGUGAAUGAUUUUUUUGUUCGAGAUACGGAGUUGGGAGAAGACCGGACUCUUCUCGGCAUCGUUAGAAAUGCUGCUUUCGACACGGCGCUUCGGAAGGCCAAAGCAGUUGCUGCCGACGUUCUGAACUGGAGCUUCAUGCGCGGUGGGAUAGCAUAUCUUCAGUACGGUGAUCUGCAACGGCUCAUGGAUGAGCGCUUAGAGCAAGCCUUGUCCUGUUAAAAAAAAAAAAGAAAGAAAACAUCCUGAAGCAGUAAAGCACGACAUUCAAAAUAAAUGAUUGAAAAUCCCCGAGCAGUGUGAUUUCAG